UACGAAGGGGGCUAGCGUUGCUCGGAAUUACUGGGCGUAAAGCGCACGUAGGCGGCUUUCUAAGUCGGGGGUGAAAUCCUGGAGCUCAACUCCAGAACUGCCUUCGAUACUGGAGAGCUCGAGUCCGGGAGAGGUGAGUGGAACUGCGAGUGUAGAGGUGAAAUUCGUAGAUAUCAGGAAGAACACCCGUGGCGAAGGCGGCUCUCUGGGACGUGACUGACGCUGAGACGCGAAAGCGUGGGGAGCGAACAGG
rnacentral:rRNA from 1 species